rnacentral:rRNA from 1 species
GACGGGUGAGUAAUGUCUGGGAAACUGCCUGAUGGAGGGGGAUAACUACUGGAAACGGUAGCUAAUACCGCAUAAUGUCGCAAGACCAAAGAGGGGGACCUUCGGGCCUCUUGCCAUCGGAUGUGCCCAGAUGGGAUUAGCUUGUUGGUGGGGUAACGGCUCACCAAGGCGACGAUCCCUAGCUGGUCUGAGAGGAUGACCAGCCACACUGGAACUGAGACACGGUCCAGACUCCUACGGGAGGCAGCAGUGGGGAAUAUUGCACAAUGGGCGCAAGCCUGAUGCAGCCAUGCCGCGUGUAUGAAGAAGGCCUUCGGGUUGUAAAGUACUUUCAGCGGGGAGGAAGGGAGUAAAGUUAAUACCUUUGCUCAUUGACGUUACCCGCAGAAGAAGCACCGGCUAACUCCGUGCCAGCAGCCGCGGUAAUACGGAGGGUGCAAGCGUUAAUCGGAAUUACUGGGCGUAAAGCGCACGCAGGCGGUUUGUUAAGUCAGAUGUGAAAUCCCCGGGCUCAACCUGGGAACUGCAUCUGAUACUGGCAAGCUUGAGUCUCGUAGAGGGGGGUAGAAUUCCAGGUGUAGCGGUGAAAUGCGUAGAGAUCUGGAGGAAUACCGGUGGCGAAGGCGGCCCCCUGGACGAAGACUGACGCUCAGGUGCGAAAGCGUGGGGAGCAAACAGGAUUAGAUACCCUGGUAGUCCACGCCGUAAACGAUGUCGACUUGGAGGUUGUGCCCUUGAGGCGUGGCUUCCGGAGCUAACGCGUUAAGUCGACCGCCUGGGGAGUACGGCCGCAAGGUUAAAACUCAAAUGAAUUGACGGGGGCCCGCACAAGCGGUGGAGCAUGUGGUUUAAUUCGAUGCAACGCGAAGAACCUUACCUGGUCUUGACAUCCACGGAAGUUUUCAGAGAUGAGAAUGUGCCUUCGGGAACCGUGAGACAGGUGCUGCAUGGCUGUCGUCAGCUCGUGUUGUGAAAUGUUGGGUUAAGUCCCGCAACGAGCGCAACCCUUAUCCUUUGUUGCCAGCGGUCCGGCCGGGAACUCAAAGGAGACUGCCAGUGAUAAACUGGAGGAAGGUGGGGAUGACGUCAAGUCAUCAUGGCCCUUACGACCAGGGCUACACACGUGCUACAAUGGCGCAUACAAAGAGAAGCGACCUCGCGAGAGCAAGCGGACCUCAUAAAGUGCGUCGUAGUCCGGAUUGGAGUCUGCAACUCGACUCCAUGAAGUCGGAAUCGCUAGUAAUCGUGGAUCAGAAUGCCACGGUGAAUACGUUCCCGGGCCUUGUACACACCGCCCGUCACACCAUGGGAGUGGGUUGCAAAAGAAGUAGGUAGCUUAACCUUCGGGAGGGCGCUUACCACUUUGUGAUUCAUGACUGGGGUGAAGUCGUAACAAGGUAACCGUAGGGGAACCUGCGGUUGGAUCAC